GACUUCUUAGCUCAGUGGUAGAGCGUGUGAUUCCAGCUUACAACUGUUUACGUAAGUGCUGUUUCCACAAGGUCAUCCGUUCAAUCCGGGUAGAGGUCA